rnacentral:rRNA from 1 species
GCGUGGCGAUAGCACGUUGAACGGACCAGUUCCUCAUGGAUCACUGAAGUUAAGCAACCUUGCACCUGGUUAGUUUGCGGUGGGGUGACGAUCUGGGCAAUUAAGUGCUGCUGGCU